rnacentral:rRNA from 1 species
CAGCAGCCGCGGUAAUACGUAGGUGGCAAGCGUUGUCCGGAAUUAUUGGGCGUAAAGGGCUCGCAGGCGGUUUCUUAAGUCUGAUGUGAAAGCCCCUGGCUCAACCGGGGAGGGUCAUUGGAAACUGGGAAACUUGAGUGCAGAAGAGGAGAGUGGAAUUCCACGUGUAGCGGUGAAAUGCGUAGAGAUGUGGAGGAACACCAGUGGCGAAGGCGACUCUCUGGUCUGUAACUGACGCUGAGGAGCGAAAGCGUGGGGAGCGAACAGGAUUAGAUACCCCCGUAGUCCCUGUCUCUUAUAC